UAUACGUAUGCGUAGUAAAUUGUUUGAAGAAAUGACGUCAUAAACUCACAAUGUUUUCGUAUUAUAUUUUCUGAAUAAAAUCCACUUGCUAUGUGAGCCCACUCACUUUUGAAGUUUUCUACCGAGCUGUAUUUAACUGUCUUUUUUUGUAAAGUUUUGAAUUAAUUGCAAAAAGGAAAUUAUAUUACAAUUUCAUUCAAUAAAAAUACCAAAUUUAAUUGAAAAUUGUAUGCUAAAGAAUGUGCCACAAAUUUAUUUUUAUAGAGUGAAAAAUAUGGAUUUCCAAACAGACAUUUGAACUUUGGGAACAAUUAACAAAUAGUUUUUUUUACGUGUUUUGAUAAAAUAGAGAAAAAGCUGAUUUCCAACCAAAUAUAAAAAAGGUUCUAAAUAAAAAAUAUUGAUAGGGCAAAUGCAUCCAUUAUGAAGCACAUAUUGACGGUCGUUUUCGGGGUUAGAUUCGUGUGUAGUUUCAGUCAUUUCCAUAGGUUUGGCAUGGUGGAACAUUCAGGUGUGAAAACAUGGAAAAAGGGAAAGACAACCAUUAGUAUCAGUUGAACUGGUUGACAUUGUUGUUUUAGUCCGGCGGUCUUAACAAUGAAACUGGCAAUGGUACAUCAAAGAUCCGGCAAAGUCCUAUGUAAUUUAAAGCAAAUACAUUAAAUAAUGAAUAUUCUGUU